rnacentral:rRNA from 1 species
GCAGUAGAACGCUGAAGACUUUAUGACUUGCUAAAGUUGGAAGAGUUGCGAACGGGUGAGUAACGCGUAGGUAACCUGCCUACUAGCGGGGGAUAACUAUUGGAAACGAUAGCUAAUACCGCAUAACAGCAUUUAACCCAUGUUAGAUGCUUGAAAGGAGCAAUUGCUUCACUAGUAGAUGGACCUGCGUUGUAUUAGCUAGUUGGUGAGGUAACGGCUCACCAAGGCGACGAUACAUAGCCGACCUGAGAGGGUGAUCGGCCACACUGGGACUGAGACACGGCCCAGACUCCUACGGGAGGCAGCAGUAGGGAAUCUUCGGCAAUGGGGGCAACCCUGACCGAGCAACGCCGCGUGAGUGAAGAAGGUUUUCGGAUCGUAAAGCUCUGUUGUAAGAGAAGAACGUGUGUGAGA